UGUCUAUGAUGUACGAAAAAUAUUUGCUACUCUUGACAAUCAAUGACGACAUAUAUGAAUCACCAAGAUCUCUGAGACG
rnacentral:snoRNA from 1 species